GGGGGAAGAGGGACCGUGGACAGAGGAGGGAGACAGGGGAAUAGAAGGGAGUAGCGGGCUAGGGACAGGACAGGAAUGAGUGGGGGGAGGUCGGGUUUGGGGGAAGAGGAGGGGAGGCUUUAGGGGAGAAAGAACAGAAAUACGGGGAGGGGGAAGAAAAGGGGUAAAGGGGUUGGGGGAGGCCGAAAAGGGAGGGAAAGGAGUCGGCUUUGGAGAGACAAAGGUGGGAAAGGCACAGAAAGAAGGGGUUAUAGAGAAGGCAGAAAAGAAGAAGAGAAAGAAGGAAGGGGAGAGGCGGGGACAGCAGGGGAGGCCGAGCGCCUCCUGGCCCGGGCUGCGGAGCCCGGACACAAAGCCGCCGACCCCAAGCUGCUCAGAGUGAGCAAAUGGCGGCCGAGAGCAUUUUCGGGAGUUAAAUAACCUCGGCCCCGCCCCGCGCAGCCGCCCUGGGGCCCCGCGCACCUGAGCCCGCCCCGGGCCCCGCCCCACAGGGCUCUUCGGCUCACUUCGGCUGCACUCGGCUAAACUCGGAUUGGUUCGGCUAUAAUCGGUUAUACUCGGCUAUAAUCGGCUCUUCGGCCACACUCGGCUACUGUCGGCUCACGGCUGAACUCGACUAUUUCCGGCCGCAGUCGUCUGGAUUCGGCACUUCGGCGCAGCUCGGCUGGGCUGGGCCGAGCUCGGUGCCCUCGCUGCGUUCGGCGCAGCUCGGUUCGGCUCCCUCAGUACCUUACUACUCAAUAGUUAUUUUUGUAAUUCAUUAUUCUUGAGACCAUCAUUCAUGUUAUUGAUUUACUACUGCAGAGCACAGAAGAUUCUGAGUUGGAAAGACCCCCGAGGAUGAUCAGGUCAAAUGAUGCCACGUGACUGGCCUACCUAGGGACUGAACUCAGAAUAUUCAUAUUCUCAACUCCUGAGCGAACGUUGGGAUCAUGAGAAACAGCUGGGAAUGGCUGCUGCUGCUUUUCUGCUAAUGCUGUUUCACACACCAGCCCCUUGAACAGCCCUAAGGCAGGAAUGGCUGGCACCCGACAAGACAGCGUAAAACUCCUCCAAUAACCUUGAAUUCCUGUCCUCUCCAGCAUUUCCCCAAUGGCUCGGAAGAUGCCAGGGAGAAAUGAGCAAAACAAGUCCUGAGCUUUCACUUGGUCCGUGGCAAUCCCAACUGAGAAAUACAUGAUUGUCGUCAAAAACUUAAGAUCUGUUAGAAGUUCAAUGACAACACUGUGAUGGGAUUCCCAGAAACCUUCUUAAUAUUCUUGGCUCCAUUUUUAUAAUUUUUAGUCUCUCCACUGGCAGCUUGUAGAAUUUAUCCUGGGAUUUGGAGGUGAAGCAAGGUUGGCUUUGGAUUGACUUUCACCUCUGGCCCUAAUUUCCCUCAAAAACAUCCCCUACAUAUUCCAUGUAGAUUAACUCUUUACCCCAAAAUUGCCCUACCUGUCCACUACCAGUGAUUUUAUUUUCUCCUCAAAAUGUUCAUUCUCCAUCUUGGAGAAAACAUCCAUUUCUACACCCAAAAUUUUUGCUCCAUGUCCACAACUGAUGACCUCAGUUUACCUCAGGAUAUUAAUUCCUGAACCUCCGGGGAUUAUUUCACUUUUCCUCCCCAAAUUUACCCUGUCUUUCGACUUCUGAUUUCCUCAUUUUUACAAGAAAAUAUUAAUCAUCUAUUCUAGGGACUAUCUUCAGUUUUACAACCCAAGUUUUCCUUACCUUAUUUUUUACCCAAAAAUACUCAUUCUUAGAUUUUUUCUAAAGUUUUAUCCCCCAAAAUUCCCCUACUUUUCCACCAAUUCCCUCAUUUGUACUUCAAAAUAUUUAUUUAAUACCAUGGAGCUUUUCUCAAGAUGUACUCUCACAAUUUUCCCUACUUGUCCAUACUCAUUGCCUCAUUUUUCCCAUUUUUCAUUUUCUUCUGCAGAGAAGGAUGGAGACUGCCCUCAGAGGGAAACAACCUGGUGGGACCCAGCCCUGGCAGCCCGUUUCCUCUUGUUGCUGCUGUCUGGAAAGCCACAGGUAAUUCCAGCCCCUCAUGGCAUCUGUUUGGCCGCCUGACCCCUAUUCCAACCCACACCCCACCAUCUCAGCACAAUUUUCUGCAGCACUAGGGUCAGGGAGAGAGAAGGAAAUGACUUUUUUUGAUCUUGAAAUGUAUCCAGGCAGACGUGGGAGGUGGUCUUGCCCCUCCCGAAGCACUGCAGGCACAUGGAGCAGCUCAGCACCGCCCAGUUCUGAGAAAUAACAGUGUCUGAGGGGUCUAAGUGCUCAUGGCAGCUCUCUUGUCUCUUGGUGGCAAAGAUUCAGUGCUACAGUCCCAGACUGAUGAGGGAAGAAAGGAACUUCCAUUAUUACCAGCAAAGCUUCUUUUACUCCUUCUGCGGGCUUUCAGUUCAGUGGCCUGGGCGACUGUCUGGUGUCUUUCUAACAAGACUUGUCAGAGAUUUAGAUUUAGGAACUGAAUUUGGGUCAGUUCACUACGAAACCUUGCCAAGCCUGAAGGCCUGAGGUGAUGACUGCCCUCAGCAAAGCACGUUGCCAGUCUUGAGGGAUCUGCUCUGGUUUCAGCCUGUCCAUGCCCUGGUCACUGCAGUCCCCAGUGCCUGAGACAGAGACACCCCUGACCAGAGUGGCCAGUGUCACUUAAAUGGAAAUGAAAUGCGCCGAACUUGCUGUGGACAGGAACUCUGUGCUUGCUUUAGUUUUAAAAUUGUGAGUAAAUUCUUGAUGCAUAAUCACUUAAUUCUGCCUCUAAAGGAGAGAUUUUCCUCACCCCUAUUUACAGAUUGUUAUAUACAAAUGCACGUAACUUUAUAAAGGAAAAUCGGAAGUAAAAACCAACACCCUCUGCUACAUUAGAUUAUUGUUUUCUUGUGGCCAUUUAUUUUGUGUAAACUUGCCUUUCCCAGCGUGCUUCUGGGUUUCAGCUAUUUGGGAAUAAUUUCAGCUGACUCUUUGCAGUGAAAAUAUGAAGGUGGGGAUGAGUGACCAGUACUCUGGGAAGGGCUGUGGGUGUGCCUGGGUCAGGAGCAAAUGGUCAGGGUUUAUCUUCUCCUGGUUUGAGGCUGGGUCUGGCAACACCACAACAUUCCAAAGCAGACUAAUUAUUUCCUCCACUGUCACUUGUCCAGGCUCUCUGCAUACUGCCAUGUCAGUGGAUACAUCUCAAUGCCACAGGGGCUUUCCUCCAAGUAGUGGUAAACCAAUUUCAAUUUUACAGACCUCUAUUGCUGCUGGAUUAGCUAAAGGACAUGACCUCCCUGUGAAAUCAGUUUUUAAACAAAAGGUAAACUUUGAACCUUGGACUAUAGCUAAAAGAUAAGAGAUGCACACUAGAUCAAUACUUGGCAAAUAUUAGUCGCAUGCCAUGGGCAGAUACCUGUCUGCUGUACCUCUACAUGUUUUAGUGUGCUGCUGCAGCACAGAUAUUUAAGGGGGUUCUUUACAGAGCACAACCAUUAAAUAACUUCUAGCUGCCUAAAAGUGGGGUAACAUAGUGUAAGUCUAGUAAUUACCUUCCUCUGCAGCCCACCUAGAGUUCAGGGAACUGAGGGCCCCCUGUUUGCACACACACAACAUUUUCCCUACCACACCAGUAAUUUCCUUUGCCCUAGUGCAUUACUUCUGUGAACAGCAGCUUUUAAGAAAAUUGUCAAGUUUGAAACAGUUCCUCUUCCAAGGCAAGCAAGCAGGUGGUUCACCGUCUCCAAUUAUGUAAUAAUAAUGUAAGUAUAAAUUGUGCUUCUGUGUUUUAUCAAUAGCUGGGUACAACACACGCAUUUUGGACUCAGCAUUUCUUGAUUGUGUCCAUAGGUUAAAAAAAAAGAGAGAGAGAAUAAAAACAGGAGCAUUCAAUUCCAUUUUUUCACCUUUUUUUAGGGGACUUUGCUAUUUGAUAGCAAGGCAGGAAACAUCUUUCUGUUGCUCCUUUCUGCCUUUGGUUUGUAACAACAGUGCCAAGCCUCUUGCAAGAGUUGGCACAUCAGCCAAUAUUCUGGGAGUCCAGAUCCCCAAGACAAAGGCAGGUGGUGUUACAUGCCAGGGAAGCAGCCCAAGAGAAAUCAGUGUUCCUCAGGAACAACCCAGAUGUGACAGAUGUUCCUGCCCUCCACGUGGACAACAGCUCAGAGCCAGGAGCACCCAGAGUGCAGCAGUUUGUGUGCAGUGCAAGGGUUCUAGUAACAACUGCAGCCUGGCAGCCUCCUGGCCCAGGAAAGAACUGCAGUCCAGUAAGAAAAUGCAGCUGCCUUGAGAUUGCUUUGUACUCUAAAUUCCCAGAGCAACAGAGCUGCUGACGUCCUGUUUGGCAAGGACACUCUCAUGGUGAGAUGUCAGCAGCAUUGUCAUUCCUUCAGCAGCUUUUAGACCUGGAGAAGUUAAUCAGGACUUUGGUGCAGAGACAAACACUAGAGAGAGGCAGAAUUACUGUUUCUAAGCACAAAUUUGGACCAGAAAUUGAAUCUCCACCAAUGUGGAUUCCUGGAAGCAAGUUUUUACUUCAUGUCUCACUUAUGUGAAAAUAAAAAACAAACAAAACCAAACCAAAACUGUCCUUACUUCCCUAGGAUACCACAUUUCCUAAGGAUUUUGGGCUGUUCUGUCUAGUGUCUCUCAGGGCUUGAAUGCAGACACCAGGAAACUCAGCUCAGAGCCAGUUCCUGCAUCUCUGGCCUCUGGUGCCUUCACCUCAGGCAUGGUUUGGUAACACACACCCACUAUAUAGUGAUACAUUUCUUGUAAUCAAAUACAGGUUUGUGGAGUACACAAGUCAUCUCAAUUCACUGUAUUUUUACUACCAAGUUGUCAUUUAUCACGUGGCAAACACAGUCUUCUAUCAGCAUCAGCACAAGUACCUAGCUUGGGAUUUUUCUUGCUGCUGAUGAAAUCCUAUUUCCUCUCCAGGCAGCCACUGGGAGCAGAGCACAGCCGGGCCUGGCUCUGGCAACACUGACAGAACAUUCCUUCACAGUCUGCUAAACAUCACCUUUCAGAGCUUUCACCCAGCACCACGAGAGAAGAAAGGCAUCAAGAAAGUGCCACAUCAACUCCUGAGCUCCUUUCAGCUCAGCAGUAGGGAGUCUGCUCCUUUCAGCAGGGCAAGGGACUGCUGGGGAUACAGCCUGGGAGAGGCACGAGGCAAGGCCAGGCCUUCCUGCACCUCCUGUGUGCACACAGGGGCCACCCCAGAGAAGCCAGGACAGUUCUCAGUUUACUAGCAUAGCUGUGGAAACUUCUCUGUCAGUAAAGCAUAGUUCAGACGUAGCACAGCACCAAAAUCAUUAUUUAGCUGGUACUGGAAAUAACUGAGUGCCUUUAGAAAGUACUGGGGGAAAAAAAUUACUUAAUCCAGCACCGUUACUUCACUAGGUGCUGGAUCAGCAAACACACAUAAGCAAUAUAUAGCAACCCUCACUCAGCUUCUUCCUGUUCUUAUGCUCAAACUAUACUAUGUAAAG